rnacentral:rRNA from 1 species
GGCGGCACGCCUAACACAUGCAAGUCGAGCGCCCAGCAAUGGGAGCGGCGGACGGGUGAGUAACACGUGGGAAUAUGCCUUUCGGUACGGAACAACUCAGGGAAACUUGAGCUAAUGCCGUAUACGCCCUUACGGGGAAAGAUUUAUCGCCGAAAGAUUAGCCCGCGUCUGAUUAGCUAGUUGGUGAGGUAAUGGCUCACCAAGGCUUCGAUCAGUAGCUGGUUUGAGAGAACGACCAGCCACACUGGGACUGAGACACGGCCCAGACUCCUACGGGAGGCAGCAGUGGGGAAUCUUGGACAAUGGGGGAAACCCUGAUCCAGCGAUGCCGCGUGAGUGAUGAAGGCCUUCGGGUUGUAAAACUCUUUCGACGGGGACGAUAAUGACGGUACCCGUANAAGAAGCUCCGGCUAACUUCGUGCCAGCAGCCGCGGUAAUACGAAGGGGGCUAGCGUUGUUCGGAAUUACUGGGCGUAAAGCGCGCGCAGGCGGCUUCUCAAGUCAGGGGUGAAAGCCCAGAGCUCAACUCUGGAACUGCCCUUGAAACUGUGAAGCU